GCAAACUUGGUCAUUUAGAGGAAGUAAAAGUCGUAACAAGGUUUCCGUAGGGUAAGUUGUCUCUGUUCUCUAGGUAAAGGUAGCUGCUAACAAGUGAUUUUUAGUGAACCUGCGGAAGGAUCAUUACCGAGUUCGGGUCGCCCGGCCCCUCUCCAACCCUUGUCUAUUCUGCCCUGUUGCUUUGGCGGGCCCGUCUUCAUGGACCGCCGGGGUUAUCCCUGGCCCGUGCCCGCCGAAGACUCCCCUCUAAAUUCUGGAUCAGUGUUGUCUAAGUGUGAAAAUGAAUUAACAAAACUUUCAACAACGGAUCUCUUGGUUCUGGCAUCGAUGAAGAACGCAGC
rnacentral:misc_RNA from 1 species